UACGGAGGAUGCGAGCGUUAUCCGGAUUUAUUGGGUUUAAAGGGUGCGUAGGCGGGCAUUUAAGCCGGCGGUCAAAUGUCGGGGCUCAACCCCGGCCCGCCGUUGAAACUGGCUGGCUUGAGUUGGGGAAAGGCAGGCGGAAUGCGCGGUGUAGCGGUGAAAUGCAUAGAUAUCACGCAGAACUCCGAUUGCGAAGGCAGCAUACCGGCGCGCAACUGACGCUCAUGCACGAAAGCGUGGGUAUCGAACAGG
rnacentral:rRNA from 1 species